rnacentral:rRNA from 1 species
CAACAGGGAUUGCCUUAGUAACUGCGAGUGAAGCGGCAAAAGCUCAAAUUUGAAAUGGUGCGCCAUGGCGGGUUUACUCGCUUUGGUAAUCCAGUUGUAAUUUAGAGGACUACUUCCGGGGCCAAACAGUUGUCUCAAGUUCUUUGGAACAAGACAUCGGAGAGGGUGAGAAUCCCGUAAAAGAUGGCUGUUAGCUCCAAUGUGGUAUAUCCGACGAGUCGAGUUGUUUGGGAAUGCAGCUCAAAAUGGGUGGUAAAUUUCAUCUAAAGCUAAAUAUUGGCGAGAGACCGAUAGCGCACAAGUAGAGUGAUCGAAAGAUGAAAAGCACUUUGAAAAGAGAGUUAAAUAGUACGUGAAAUUGUUGAAAGGGAAGCGCUUGAGACUAGAUUUGGCUGACGGUGUUCAGCCAUGCUUUGGCAUGGUGUAUGUGCCGUUGGUUGAGCCAGCAUCGGUUUUGAUGGUGGGAUAAAGGUUUGAGGAAUGUGGCUCCACAAUUUUGUGGAGUGUUAUAGCCUUGAGCGUAAUGCCAUCUAUUGGGACCGAGGACCGCGCGUAAGCUAGGAUGCUGGCUAAAAGGUCUUAAGCGGCCCGUCUUGAAACACGGACCAAGGAGUCUAACAUCUAUGCGAGUGUUUGGGUCGGAAACCCUUGCGCGUAAUGAAAGUGAACGGAGGUGGGAUCCACAUCUGUGGUGCACCAUCGACCGAUCCUGAUGUUUACGGAAGGAUUUGAGUAGGAGCAUAGCUGUUGGGACCCGAAAGAUGGUGAACUAUGCCUGAAUAGGGUGAAGCCAGAGGAAACUCUGGUGGAGGCUCGCANCGGUUCUGACGUGCAAAUCGAUCGUCAAAUUUGGGUAUAGGGG